UACGAAGGGGGCUAGCGUUGUUCGGAAUCACUGGGCGUAAAGGGCGCGUAGGCGGCUGUUCAAGUCGGGGGUGAAAUCCCGUGGCUCAACCACGGAAUGGCCUUCGAUACUGGACGGCUCGAGACCGGAAGAGGUGAGUGGAACUGACGAGUGUAGAGGUGAAAUUCGUAGAUAUUCGCAAGAACACCAGUGGCGAAGGCGGCUCACUGGUCCGGUUCUGACGCUGAGGCGCGAAAGCGUGGGGAGCAAACAGG
rnacentral:rRNA from 1 species